UAGGGAAUCUUCCACAAUGGGCGCAAGCCUGAUGGAGCAACACCGCGUGAGUGAAGAAGGGUUUCGGCUCGUAAAGCUCUGUUGUUAAAGAAGAACACGUAUGAGAGUAACUGUUCAUACGUUGACGGUAUUUAACCAGAAAGGAACGGCUAAAUACGUGCCAA
rnacentral:rRNA from 1 species